rnacentral:rRNA from 1 species
UACGUAGGGUGCGAGCGUUAAUCGGAAUUACUGGGCGUAAAGCGUGCGCAGGCGGUUUUGUAAGCCGGAUGUGAAAUCCCCGGGCUUAACCUGGGAAUGGCAUUCGGGACUGCAAGGCUGGAGUGCGGCAGAGGAGACUGGAAUUCCGGGUGUAGUGGUGGAAUGCGUAGAGAUCCGGAGGAACACCAGCGGCGAAGGCGGCAUCCUGGACUGGUCCUGACACUCAUGAGCGAAAGCGUGGGGAGCGAUCCGG